AUACUGCCCAUUAAAGAUCAGGCCUUAUAUAUCCACUUGUUCCUGCCUCUCAUAUAUUUAGGUUCUAUUAAAAAAGUUUCUUUUUGGCACAUGUCUUGUCUCCCUUAAUAGAUUAUAAGCUCCUUGAGGGCAGGGACUGUUCUAUUCAUCUUUUUAGUUUCCCUCUGCCCUUGUCACUAUGUUUAUCCCAUAGACGAUAUAUUUAUUACUAUGAAAUCAUGGGACAUUGUACUCAAUCCAGGGUUGUGGUGCUGGCCGUGGUGCUGAUUGGGGUAUGUCAGUAAGCACUGGCUAUAGGCAAAUUCCUGUCAACAGUGGUGAUGUGGACCACAAAACUUUCAAUUGGGACUGAUUCAGAUUCAAAUAAAACUGGGAAAUGUUUAAUGAAAGAAAAAAGACAAUAUAAAACAGAUCAUAUUAAUUUAAUUUAACAGGGAUUGUUUCUAUUUGAGUUGGACACUACUGCUCCACAAAACCCAUCAGUGCUACUCAAUGCCACAUGGUUUUCUCAGCAAAGAUACAGCGGUACUUUGUCAUUGCCUUCUCCAGAUCAUUUUACAGAGGAGGAAACUGAGGCAAAUGGUGUUAUGGGAUUUGUCUAGAGUUACACAGCUGGUAGGUGUCUGAGGCCAGAUUUGAGCCUUCAGGCCUGGCACUCUAUUCACCCCACCACC
rnacentral:lncRNA from 1 species